ACUCCAGUCCAGAAGCAAUAAACUUCCAGGACGGAGCGUGCGUCUGGAAGCCCUGUCUGUAAGUUUAAAAUGUAU